rnacentral:piRNA from 1 species
UGACUUGGAGUCUCUGGGGUACGU